GGUUCAGUGAAACAUUACCUGACUUACAUGAAAAAAAUUGAAAGUUUCCUUUAGAAAAUGACUUCAUCAUCACUACUGACUAUAGAAGCCAUGUGAUCUGAGUAACUGAUCAUACCAAAUAAAAGUACUAAACUUGAAAGCCUAGGCACAAGGGACCCUCAGGAAGAAGAUUACUCUAUAAAUACUAUCGAUUUUGUCACUUCUGGAGCUGCAAAAUGCAACGAACAGUGUUUGCGUCCAAUGCAGAAAUGGCAACACAAUCGAGAGAUACGGUAGUGUAGAUAGCGCUAGCUACACACUCACAGGCUUGGAAGGCAUCAUGAAACUUGAGGUUGAUCAUCAAAUCAUCUCUUACUUCUCUUGUACUAGUAAUAUUUUGCGUAUAUAUGGCAUAUCCUGAAACAUCUGUCGUUGUUAUGGCACACUAGGAAUCUGGGAUGCAGGCCUAGGGUGUAUCGUCGCGCCACCCACUUCCAUUCACCUGAUUGCUCAACUUCUGUCGGGAAGUCAGGUGGCACAGAUCAAGGCAUUCUAACACAGAGGUGGGGUCAUUGGGCAAUACUUGAUUGAAGGACAAGUUGCUGAAAUCCAUCAACCCCUGCUUUGAAAGAGAGUUUGUGUUGUUGUGGAGGCUGAGAAUUCAGAGUUGGGUGUGUUUGGAUCUUUGGCUCCCAGAUAUAGCUACCUACCAGAUAGAUGAUCGUGGCUUCUAGAGCCACACAAAAUCAGACAUCUGGCGACGCUGCUGUUUAGGACAGGCAAGAAUCUCACACCAUCAUCCAAACAAGCUUCAUAUCCAGCCAUCCAUGUAGGGCACAAGUGACGAAUGCUGACACAUGUGUGCUCGUGACAUCCUUAGCAAAUCACGGCAGUUAAAAACAUUGUUAAUUCAGUCUUAGAGGCUUAAAAUAAAAAUUCUCAAGCAAUGCUUAGACCAUAAAAAAAGUCAAGCAAUGCUUUAAGCCCAUGCAUGACUUGAAUUUCUUUUUUCCCCAA
rnacentral:lncRNA from 1 species